rnacentral:rRNA from 1 species
GAUGAACGCUGGCGGCGUGCCUAAUACAUGCAAGUCGAGCGAACAGACGAGGAGCUUGCUCCUCUGACGUUAGCGGCGGACGGGUGAGUAACACGUGGAUAACCUACCUAUAAGACUGGGAUAACUUCGCGAAACCGGAGCUAAUACCGGAUAACAUGUUGAACCGCAUGGUUCAACAGUGAAAGACGGUCUUGCUGUCACUUAUAGAUGGAUCCGCGCCGCAUUAGCUAGUUGGUAAGGUAACGGCUUACCAAGGCAACGAUGCGUAGCCGACCUGAGAGGGUGAUCGGCCACACUGGAACUGAGACACGGUCCAGACUCCUACGGGAGGCAGCAGUAGGGAAUCUUCCGCAAUGGGCGAAAGCCUGACGGAGCAACGCCGCGUGAGUGAUGAAGGUCUUCGGAUCGUAAAACUCUGUUAUUAGGGAAGAACAAAUGUGUAAGUAACUAUGCACGUCUUGACGGUACCUAAUCAGAAAGCCACGGCUAACUACGUG